GUGCCAGCCGCCGCGGUAAUACGAAGGGGGCUAGCGUUGCUCGGAAUUACUGGGCGUAAAGCGCACGUAGGCGGUCUUUUAAGUCGGGGGUGAAAUCCUGGAGCUCAACUCCAGAACUGCCUUCGAUACUGGAAGACUCGAGUCCGGGAGAGGUGAGUGGAACUGCGAGUGUAGAGGUGAAAUUCGUAGAUAUUCGCAAGAACACCAGUGGCGAAGGCGGCUCACUGGCCCGGUACUGACGCUGAGGUGCGAAAGCGUGGGGAGCAAACAGGAUUAGAUACCCUCGUAGUCC
rnacentral:rRNA from 1 species